GCCGGGGUGGCGAAAUGGUAUACGCGGGGGACUUAAAAUCCCUUGUCGAAAGGCUUGCGGGUUCGAGUCCCGCCCCCGGCA
rnacentral:tRNA from 1 species